UACGGAGGAUCCAAGCGUUAUCCGGAUUUAUUGGGUUUAAAGGGUGCGUAGGCGGACAUUUAAGUUAGUCGUUAAAUCGCGAGGCUCAACCUCGCCAUGGCGAUUAAUACUGGAUGUCUAGAGAUUAGAUGCAGAGGGCGGAAUGUGUAGUGUAGCGGUGAAAUGCUUAGAUAUUACACAGAACACCGAUUGCGAAGGCAGCUCUCUAAUCUACAUCUGACGCUGAGGCACGAAAGCGUGGGGAUCAAACAGG
rnacentral:rRNA from 1 species